rnacentral:rRNA from 1 species
GAUGAACGCUGGCGGCGUGCCUAAUACAUGCAAGUCGAGCGAACGGACGAGAAGCUUGCUUCUCUGAUGUUAGCGGCGGACGGGUGAGUAACACGUGGAUAACCUACCUAUAAGACUGGGAUAACUUCGGGAAACCGGAGCUAAUACCGGAUAAUAUUUUGAACCGCAUGGUUCAAAAGUGAAAGACGGUCUUGCUGUCACUUAUAGAUGGAUCCGCGCUGCAUUAGCUAGUUGGUAAGGUAACGGCUUACCAAGGCAACGAUGCAUAGCCGACCUGAGAGGGUGAUCGGCCACACUGGAACUGAGACACGGUCCAGACUCCUACGGGAGGCAGCAGUAGGGAAUCUUCCGCAAUGGGCGAAAGCCUGACGGAGCAACGCCGCGUGAGUGAUGAAGGUCUUCGGAUCGUAAAACUCUGUUAUUAGGGAAGAACAUAUGUGUAAGUAACUGUGCACAUCUUGACGGUACCUAAUCAGAAAGCCACGGCUAACUACGUGCCAGCAGCCGCGGUAAUACGUAGGUGGCAAGCGUUAUCCGGAAUUAUUGGGCGUAAAGCGCGCGUAGGCGGUUUUUUAAGUCUGAUGUGAAAGCCCACGGCUCAACCGUGGAGGGUCAUUGGAAACUGGAAAACUUGAGUGCAGAAGAGGAAAGUGGAAUUCCAUGUGUAGCGGUGAAAUGCGCAGAGAUAUGGAGGAACACCAGUGGCGAAGGCGACUUUCUGGUCUGUAACUGACGCUGAUGUGCGAAAGCGUGGGGAUCAAACAGGAUUAGAUACCCUGGUAGUCCACGCCGUAAACGAUGAGUGCUAAGUGUUAGGGGGUUUCCGCCCCUUAGUGCUGCAGCUAACGCAUUAAGCACUCCGCCUGGGGAGUACGACCGCAAGGUUGAAACUCAAAGGAAUUGACGGGGACCCGCACAAGCGGUGGAGCAUGUGGUUUAAUUCGAAGCAACGCGAAGAACCUUACCAAAUCUUGACAUCCUUUGACAACUCUAGAGAUAGAGCUUUCCCCUUCGGGGGACAAAGUGACAGGUGGUGCAUGGUUGUCGUCAGCUCGUGUCGUGAGAUGUUGGGUUAAGUCCCGCAACGAGCGCAACCCUCAAGCUUAGUUGCCAUCAUUAAGUUGGGCACUCUAAGUUGACUGCCGGUGACAAACCGGAGGAAGGUGGGGAUGACGUCAAAUCAUCAUGCCCCUUAUGAUUUGGGCUACACACGUGCUACAAUGGACAAUACAAAGGGCAGCGAAACCGCGAGGUCAAGCAAAUCCCAUAAAGUUGUUCUCAGUUCGGAUUGUAGUCUGCAACUCGACUACAUGAAGCUGGAAUCGCUAGUAAUCGUAGAUCAGCAUGCUACGGUGAAUACGUUCCCGGGUCU